GCCUGAUCCCUGGCUGGGGGAAGGGGACUCUGCUCUCCUGACGCUCAUUUUCCCCCGCCCUCCCGGGGUUUGCCCUACUCGGGGGGUCAGAAGACAGGAGAUUGGCGGCCAUUUUAGACGCAGUAACCGAGAGUCUGCACCCUUAUUUAGAUAACCAAGUUAGGAGGAAGACUUAAGAGUAAGUUGGGGGGAGGGGGC
ensembl:lncRNA novel transcript